GGAGAGGUGCCAGAGUGGUAAUGGAGCAGAUUGCUAAUCUGUCAGCGCGUAUGUGCUGCCAGGGUUCGAAUCCCUGUCUCUCCGCCA
rnacentral:tRNA from 1 species